CUUGGUAGCAAGUACUACUGCACUGUCUGCGAUGCUACAAUCCGCC
rnacentral:tRNA from 1 species